AACGAACGCUGGCGGCAGGCCUAACACAUGCAAGUCGAACGGGUCCUUCGGGACUAGUGGCGGACGGGUGAGUAACGCGUGGGAACGUGCCCUUUGGUUCGGAAUAGCCCUGGGAAACUGGGAGUAAUACCGGAUGAGCCCUACGGGGGAAAGAUUUAUCGCCAAAGGAUCGGCCCGCGUUGGAUUAGGUAGUUGGUGGGGUAAUGGCCUACCAAGCCGACGAUCCAUAGCUGGUUUGAGAGGAUGAUCAGCCACACUGGGACUGAGACACGGCCCAGACUCCUACGGGAGGCAGCAGUGGGGAAUCUUAGACAAUGGGGGAAACCCUGAUCUAGCCAUGCCGCAUGAUCGAUGAAGGCCUUAGGGUUGUAAAGAUCUUUCAGUGGGGAAGAUAAUGACGGUACCCACAGAAGAAGCCCCGGCUAACUCCGUGCCAGCAGCCGCGGUAAUACGGAGGGGGCUAGCGUUGUUCGGAAUUACUGGGCGUAUAGCGCACGUAGGCGGACCGGAAAGUCAGAGGUGAAAUCCCAGGGCUCAACCUUGGAACUGCCUUUGAAACUCCUGGUCUUGAGGUCGAGAGAGGUGAGUGGAAUUCCGAGUGUAGAGGUGAAAUUCGUAGAUAUUCGGAGGAACACCAGUGGCGAAGGCGGCUCACUGGCUCGAUACUGACGCUGAGGUGCGAAAGCGUG
rnacentral:rRNA from 1 species